CCUCUAUCAUUGCGAGGGGGUCCACGCCCUCCAAAGCCACCAUUUGGGCGGUUGUCAUGGUAACCAUUCACAAAACCAUUGGCACGUGUGCUAUCCCAGCCAGGCGAGUAGAGGUUUACUGGUGCCACUGAAUAACCGCACUGUCUACCAGCGGAAUAAGCAUUUCCUGCUGUGGAAUAAGAAAACAGCAAAAAACGAGAAAAACGUCAAGUGUGCAAAGACAAGAACUGUUUUGCUGCUGCAAAAAAA